GACGAACGCUGGCGGCGUGCCUAACACAUGCAAGUCGUACGAGGACACCCCUUCGGGGGUGAGCCGAGUGGCGGACGGGUGAGUAACACGUGACCAAUCUGCCUUCGAGAGGGGGAUAACCUGGGGAAACCCGGGCUAAUACCGCAUGACGUGUCGUGCUCGCAUGGGCGUGACACAAAGGGAGGCCUCUAUUUAUAAGCUUUCGCUCGAAGAGGAGGUCGCGGCGUAUCAGCUAGUUGGUAGGGUAACGGCCUACCAAGGCGACGACGCGUAGCGGGUCUGAGAGGACGACCCGUCACAUUGGGACUGAGAUACGGCCCAGACUCCUACGGGAGGCAGCAGUGGGGAAUAUUGCGCAAUGGCCGAAAGGCUGACGCAGCGACGCCGCGUGUGGGAGGAAGCCCUUCGGGGUGUAAACCACUGUCAGGAGGGACGAACCCCGGACGGGCAAAUAGCCCGGACGGCUGACGGUACCUCCAAAGGAAGCACCGGCUAACUCCGUGCCAGCAGCCGCGGUAAGACGGA
rnacentral:rRNA from 1 species